AACGUAGGUUCCGAGCGUUAUCCGGAUUUACUGGGCGUAAAGCGCGUUCAGGCGGUUUGGCAAGUCGGGCAUGAAAUCUCUCGGCUCAACCGGGAGAGGUUGUCCGAUACUUCCAGACUUGAGGGCAGUAGAGGGUGGUGGAAUUCCGGGUGUAGUGGUGAAAUGCGUAGAUAUCCGGAGGAACACCAGUGGCGAAGGCGACACGCUGGGCCGUACCUGACGCUAAAGCGCGACAGCAUGGGGAGCAAACGGG
rnacentral:rRNA from 1 species